CAGCAAGGAGGCGAGGAGCGGCGGCGGCGCUGAGCCGGGCCCGGGUGUGGGGGCGCCUAUAUCCCCAGCCCAAGCUGCAGGAAGCCGCGCCGCUUCCUCGGAGGGGCUGGGACGGCGGCGGCCACGUGGGGGGCGGGGGCGACGCUCGGGGCCCGCGGCUGGAGGGGGAGUCGCUGCCUCACCCGCGCCUGGCGCCCGCGGCUCCCUCCGCCUCGCCGGCGUUGGCCCACCCUCUCGUAGCUCACCCCGCGAGGCUGGACAGCUCCCGGAACCCCGGAACCGGGAUCUAUUUCGGGGGCUCGGCUGCGUGGCGCCCAGGACUCUCCAGGGUCUCCCAGGAUCGCUCCCCGAAUUCGAGUCGCCCCCUCUCUCUUUCGGGGAAUACCAGCUGAUGUCAGUCCGCCAGCCAAAACCAGGGAGGAGAAGCGGGAGCCAGCCCUCUGGAGUCGGGAGAAGGUCUGGGGAGUGGGGUAGAGGGGAAAGCAAAGUCCAAAUACCUUCCCUUCAGACACCUCCUGGGGCCUAGACCCCACAAACCUGUUGUGGGGAGGGCAAAAUACGAUGACUACGUUCCCAGGAAGAAGGUGCCACAGCUCUUCAGGACCACGGUUGGGAGAAAGAAUGGAGGGGUUUUAGAACCUUCAGUGUGCGACUUCAUGUGCCAGGUCUUCAUCUCAGGAUCUCAAGCUCUUGGAUCAUGGGCACGGAUAACCUGUUGUCCUCCUCUAUGGUCAAGAGGCUGCUUUUGCAAAGAAUCCAGUGGGAGAGAGUCAAUGGCCUGCUUGACGUGAACUCCAAAGUCCUCCUGGGCCAAGGGUCAUCCUGCCUGGAGCAGGGCAAGAGGUGACUUGACCCUUAGGAAGAGUGGCAUCUCUAAUCUUCAACUUCCACCACCACCACACACACAAAUGCAGAGCCACCCAGGAGGAAGUAAAAAGUGCUAGGGCCUUCUACACCUUGAAAUUAUAUGUGGAGCAUCCUGCAAUAAGCAUCUCUGUGAUGCACAGUCAUUCACACCUGCUGGUCUCUCCCCCAGCUGUCUGCAAAAUGAAGAGCAGAGCACAAGAGAACAUGUGAGAAAGAGGCAGGGUCGGGGAAGCCAGAAGUCCUGGCUGGCAGGGGCUGAUCCUUCCUAACUAGAGAGAGGAGACACACUUCUUGAGAGGGCAGGGAGAUAGCAGGGAGAACUAGAGGAGCUAUAGCCAGGGAGCCAGCUAAGGGAGGGAAGACAAAGGAGUGGAGACACAACUACUCCAUCUCUCCCCAGCCUCCUCAUCUCCAGAAUGAUGGCACACCUGGGAGGGGCCUGACUACCUUUCAGGGGGAAAAAUGGUCACUGGGCCUGGUGCGGUGGCUCAUGCCUGUCAUCCCAGCACUUUGGGAGGCCAAGGUGGGUGGAUAACCUGAGGUCAGGAGUUCGAGACCAGCCAGAACAACAUGGUGAAACCCCAUCUCUACUAAAAAUACAAAAAUUUGCUGGGCGUGGUGGUGCCUGCCUGUAAUCCAGCUACUUAGGAGGCUGAGGCAGGAAAAUCGCUUGAACCCGAAAGGCAGAGGUUGCAGUGUGCCGAGAUUAAGCCACUGAACUCCAGCCUGGGCAACAAGAGUGAAACUCUGUCUGAAGGAAAAAAAAAAAAAGCCAUUGGAGAAGACGGGGUCCUUCCAGAGAAGCUGAUCAAGUCAUAUUACUCAUCAACUGCUGGGGACCUAACAGUCACUACCAUGUAUUGAACACUUACUAUGGGCUGCAUAAUGUGCCUACUGACGCAUGUGCUGAAAGCUUUGCAUGUAUGUCUUAAAGCCACACCACUAUAACAUCAGAAUUAUCUUCUCCAUGUGUGAAAUGGGGAAACAGGAGGAGAAAGUUUACAAUCCCAGAGCUAGUAAUUGGCAGAGCCAGGAUUUAAACCCAGGAUAUCUUGAUGCUAAAGUUCAUGUCUUAACCAUUAUGAUUUAUCACCUCCUCUCACUGCAGAUCAGAAUACCAAUUUCUUACUGGGUCUGGAAAGGAGGAGAGAAGGAUAGAGAGUUUCUUCUAGGACCAAAUUGAUUCCUCCACAAAUAGGAAGAUCCCCAGACUGUGUGCACACACCCUCCUCCUCCUUCCUUCUCCAACCCUGGCUGGACCAUGACAUCACAUGGUGGAGGCUGUUUUUUAAAAAGAACUCAGGCCAGAUUUACAAGAAUGAUGCUCAGGCAGCGUGACUGUCAAGGACCGUGGCCAAGUGACCCAUAGCACACACCCAGCAGUGCUGAGAACAUAGCUAGUCCCUUAGCACCUGGGGCUGACUCAUGGUUGCUGUAGGACCCAAUGCCAGAUGCCAGGAUUGCUUUCUCCCUCCAUUCAUUAGGACUGUCCCAUGAAACCCUCCCCAGGAACCCUUCUACCCCAUCCCGGCAUGCCAGGAGCCUGGAUACUGCAUAACACAGGGUACUCAUAUUUGUUUACCAAGCCUUGAAGAUGACAGGCAAUAUGCUGAUAUGCUCAAUGCAUCAUACAAAUUGUUUUAUUUAAAACUGAACUAUUAAAUUAAGUAUCAUAGCAACUCACUUUACAGACAAGGAAACUGAAGCUCAAAGGUUAAGUAAGGGCCAGGCAUGGUGGCUCACUCCUGUAAUCCCAGCAGUUUGGGAGGCUGAGGUGGGAGGAGGAUUGCUUAAGCCCGCGAGUUUGAGACCAGCCUAGGCAAUAUAGGGAGACCCCAUCUCUACAAAAAAUUAUCUGGGCCUGGUGAUGUGUGCCUGUAGUCCCAGCUACUUGAGAGGCUGAGGUGGGAGGAUUGCUUGAGCCCAGAAGUUGAGGCUGCAGUGAGCCAUGAUCAUGCCAUUGUACUCCAGCCUGGGCAGCAAAGCAAAACCCUGUAUUGAAAACAAACAAACAGGCUGGGCACGGUGGCUCACACCUGUAAUCCCAACACUUUGGGAGGCCGAGGCAGGUGGAUCACCUGAGGUCAGGAGUUAGAGACCAGCCUGGCCAACAUGGUGAAACCCGCCUCUACUGAAAAUACAAAAAUUAGCAGGGCAUUGUGGCACAUGCCAAGGUGGGCAGAUCACCUGAGGUCAGGAGUUCGAGACCAGCCUGGCCAACAUGGUGAAACCCCAUCUCUACUAAAAAUACAAAAAUUAGCUGGGCGUGGUGGUGGGCGCCUGUAGUCCCAGCUACUCAGGAGGCUGAGGCAGGAGAAUCGCUUGAACCUGGGAGGUGGAGGUUGCAGUAAGCCAAGAUAGUGCCACUGCACUCCAGCCUGGGCGACAGACAAAAAAAAAAAAAAAAAG
rnacentral:lncRNA from 1 species